rnacentral:misc_RNA from 1 species
ACACGCAGCGGAGAAACAGAGACGUUAUUCUACCGAAAAGAAGGUGCAGUGGUGCCGCCGAGUCGCGAGCAGCCUUCGCCUCUUCCUCUGCCCCUAGCCCCUAGCCCCUCCCCACCGCCACCACCCGCAGCGAAGCGUCUCUGUGCACAGCCUCACACCUGCAGGCGCAGCCGCAUCACACACACUCCUGUCUUGCUCAAAGCCCCAGUCUUCAUUGCCAUUUGUUGAAUUCCCACGACAUGUCGGCAGCGAUGGACACGAGCCGCAAUGGCGCCGGGCCUGCGAAAGCCGUUUGUGCAGCGCCGACCCGGCACGUUCUCGCCCCUGUUCCAGUGAAUCGAUUGGCGCCACCCCUGCCUCCCCGUGGCACCACCCUCGACUGCUCGCAGGUGGUGCUGCGGAUGCCAGCCUACGUGGUCGCCAAACAAGAGGCGGAGAAGAUGCAGAAGGAAACGUUGCGGCCGCUGACGUUCAGGAUGAUUCAGCAGCGCAUUCGCGACCACUUCGUGCGCGACUUGGACGAAGAGACGGAGCUCAGGAACAACCGCUACAUCCUCUCGACCGCGCAAGUCGAGCGAUUCCUUUUUCCUCUUUUCCAGCGCGCCGACGCGAAAGCAGUGCGCAUUCUCGGAGAGGUAUGGGGACGCUCCCGCGACCCCUCGCGUAAGCUGAGUGAUCAGAUCGUCGCCGUCCUCACCCGCCGCCAACACGUGCUGCUGCAGGGGACGGAGCUGACGCUGAUGGAGCUGAAGGAGAAGGUGCUGUUGGCGGCGCGGUUGCAAGAGCCGCUGACGGCGGGCGAGGUCCGUCAGCUGGCGGUCCAGCUGGGCCCCAACAACCGCGUGUGGGUGGAGGAGUGGCUGCGCGCCCGUCCUGCAGAGGAGGCGGUGGAUUUGCUAGCGCUCUGCACCGCGCUGCGCGAUGCGGUGCAGCAGCGAUUCGGAGCCUUCACGUUUUCGGGGGCUUACUACCCCACAGUGCUGGACGACUUGAUCGACAUGGAUGAGCGCGCGCAGAGCUCCAUGGUGUACCCGCCGAAGCAGGGCGUGCCGGCGCAGUCCGUGCGCGCACGUGCCUGCGAGGAGCUUUUCAUCUUCACCAUAUUCUGCGGUGUGCCGCUCUCCCUCGACGCCUAUUUCCUUGCCGUAGCCCUGCUCGACCGCUUUCUUGCCCGUCGCAGCACCCCGAAAGAACAGCUGCGGCUGUACAGCAUGGCAGCCCUGCUGCUCGCUUCCAAGUGCGAUCAUUCAUGGCCGACGUUGGACCCGCACUUCGUAUCCGUCAAGAUGAAGCUCGCACAGGAAGACGUCAUGACAGCCGAGGAGGCAAUUGUGCAGACGCUGGAGUUUGACACGGCCGUGUCCACGCUGCACCACUUCUGCGAGGCACUUCUGCUCCACCAAGACCCGCCGGCGUCCCCGGAGCAGCGCCAGCUGCUGGAGUAUCUGAUUGCCUCUCUCUCGGUACACACCUACUACGGCCAGUACAGGCAGUCCUGUCUGGCAGCUGCGGCACUUCACAGCAGCCGCCACGCUGCCCGGCUCGCAACCGGCGAGCCAAGUGAGCCCGUGCGCGUACUGCUGCCAGUCGUGUACGCUGCACUGCAGAAGAACAGUGUGGAGCGCAGUCCGGGUAACCUGAUAAAGCAGAUCUACGCUCAGCCAGAACGCCACGCCGUGAGCUUGACCCCUACCGCAGUCUUGUUUCCCAGUCUGUCAUGCCGCUCCUCUCUCAGCGCCAGCGAGUGACUGUGAAUCCUCUUUUCCACACUUGCACAGCGAUGACGACUCCGUUCGUGCCGUGGCCACGUCCCUUCCGAAUCCACCACCGCAUCGAUGCACCGCAUCAACCCCCUCUUCCCUUCCCUUCCCUCUCACUCCCCCGAUGCCACCCUUUACGCGGUUCACCCCUCGCGAUGCCGGUCCAAUGCACGCCACCGGUAAACCAUCUUCAAGAGAGAGGAAGGCGGGGGGGGAGGCGGGACGAGGGAGAAGCCGUUGCGACCUGGAUAGACGCACAUGCGCACAUGAGCACAUGUAUACAUAGACGCACGCAUGGAUAGAUGCACACCGCCCCGAAAACAAAGUGCCGUACUUCUCUUUCUCGUCAGUAUUGUAUGUUCCGCAACCGUUGAGCGUGUCGCACGAACAUCACCCGUCUCUCUUUCUGCUGCGAUGCAGGGGAGCGGGGCCAUCUUCAUUAGGAUCCACUUGGCGCCACCCUUGUUGUGCAGGGGAUGCUGCCGCUGCCUUGGACGUCCGCCUCCCUACCCCCUCCCGCGGAUGCCUUGAUCUCUCGUAUUCCUGAUUUUUUUUUGCUGUUGUUGUCCACACACGCAGGCGCACGUUGACUUGAUGCGCACUGGUCACGCGAGUGGUCCCCUUAUAUGGAUGGCGAAGUGGGAGGACUCGGUGGAGGUGAGAGCGCGAGCGAGCCGCAGCCGUGAAGAAGCGCGUGCGUUUCUUUGAAUCGCAAAGGCAGAUGAACGGAAAAAGCAAUGCAGCAGGAGGCAGCCCACGUGGGGGUCGGCGUCAGCCUUGCGCGGAGACUUCGAGGGUUGUGCGUGUGAUACCUUCAAGGUUCGACGCGGCUACUCUUCUUCCUCUCUCCUCUCUUCUUCCGUGCAUUACUGUGCAUCCCUAACGGCGAGCUGCUCCUUGUAGUUGCUACAGAGAGCUUCGGUCACAUCUUGACCGAUGAAGCCCCUUGUAAGGUCUGCGUCACGUCAUACCUUGCUGUAUGUGCACGCAAACGGAUUCGAUGGGCGUGUGUGUGUGUGUGGGUAGGUGUGUAUCGCUGCGACUUGCUGCGGCUCGCGCGCCUUCUGAAUGCUGAAGCUUCCGUUGUCGCAGCUCUUUUUUCUGCUAUCGUGCCGGCAUUCUUCUCUCUCCUUCCCCGUUUUCAACGCCGCAACGCCUUACACGCCCACUUGGCGCACGUAUGGAUGCUCGUGCGUGGGUGGCUCUCAUGCUCAUCGGCGGCGGCUCCCUUUCCACCACUGUGGCUGCACCCUUCUGCGCCACACGAUCGGCAACGCCGACCAG